rnacentral:lncRNA from 1 species
UGCAACACAAAAUUUGGAUCUUCCAACGUUUCAAGAAAGUAGCCCUUCCAGGAUUAAAGUUUUCCAACUUGACAUUCAAAAUAAGUGCACCUUGCUCAUUCAUUCCUAGAACAAUUUCUUACCAGAGAUACAUGUCAUCUACCUCAAUACACUGAGACCAAUAUGGCUCCCUAUUCUAAAUAAUGACAAGAGGCGCGAGAAAUUCGACACAUCUCAUCCGAAAUACAACAUACAGUACAAUGUUUUACAUGAGAAGUACAGCAGGCAGAAGCACGGCAGCUAGGUAAGUCAACCAGCAAGACUGGGAUUGCGAGGCAAAACUGUCUUGGCUCACAGGACCAGCAGCCGCAUCACCACUGC